UGGCCGAUUAUUGGCCACAUCUUCCAGGAAUGGAUUGGCAAAAACCAAUGCUGUCUAUCAGAAAUAUAGCUUAUAUUGGAUUAAGAGAAGUUGAUAGUUAUGAAAGACUAGUUAUUGAAAAAUUUGGUAUUACUGCUUUUGGCAUGGAAGAUAUAGAAAAAUAUGGUAAUAUUUUAUAAUAUAAAUGUUUAAGUCAUAAA